AGAGUUUGAUCCUGGCUCAGAGUGAACGCUGGCGGCAGGCCUAACACAUGCAAGUCGAACGGCAGCACAGCAGUAGCAAUACUGUGGGUGGCGAGUGGCGGACGGGUGAGGAAUGCGUCGGAAUCUGCCUAUUUGUGGGGGAUAACGCAGGGAAACUUACGCUAAUACCGCAUACGACCUACGGGUGAAAGUGGGGGACCUUCGGGCCUCACGCAGAAAGAUGAGCCGACGCCGGAUUAGCUAGUUGGCGGGGUAAAGGCCCACCAAGGCGACGAUCCGUAGCUGGUCUGAGAGGAUGAUCAGCCACACUGGGACUGAGACACGGCCCAGACUCCUACGGGAGGCAGCAGUGGGGAAUAUUGGACAAUGGGCGCAAGCCUGAUCCAGCCAUGCCGCGUGUGUGAAGAAGGCCUUCGGGUUGUAAAGCACUUUUGUCCGGAAAGAAAAGCUUCGGGUUAAUAACCUGGAGUCAUGACGGUACCGG
rnacentral:rRNA from 1 species